rnacentral:lncRNA from 1 species
CCUUGCUGCAGCACUGCCAUUUGUUGAGAAGCUCAGCUGUCCCCUCUCCAGGACACCGGGACUCUUACCAGAGACCAUACUCAGGGAGCGUCCAUGCAGCACCCCACCCCGCUGACAGGAGCGAUUGACUCUUCCACAGUGAAUGUAUCCAGAGCCUCUGUUGUCUUAGCUGUGCUUGAAAUGCAAAUUCCCAGGUGUCCUGUGUGCAAGCACAUUGGGAGGGUGCUGCAUGACCCCCCAGCUGCUUGCCAACCACCAGGGCACUGACUGUGAAGGCCAGGCAGUGUUACAGUGCCGCAGGUGCUGUGUCUCCCCAUGCACACUGAACUCUGCCCUCAGUGCAGGGGCUGGGGGGUCUGAACAGAACAGCGUCGCUUCUCUGAGACAGAGUGGCCAGCGGGCUGUCCUUCACCGUGCAUGCAGUCCACAGCCAGCACAGGCCCCACCAGGCCCAGCCAGGCUGCCCGACCUCAGGCCUAGCCUCUUCCGUCCGAGCUCUGACAGGCCUGCCCCAGGCGACUGGGUGAGCUGUCUCAGCCAGCAGCCCCGCUGCCUUAGCCGUGAUCUGUCCUUGCCGCAGUGGCCCAGUUGGUGGCCAGGGGACCGUUGGAAAAUGCUGGCUCACGGUGAUCGGAUGGCCCUGGGGACAGCAGGCCAGUUCUGGAAGUGUAUGAGGCACACCCUGAACCAGCCACAAAGUGAAGGCUCCUGGUGACACUGACUCUCUUGCGCCCUGCACCUGCUGAGAGCCUCUCUGGAUCCGAAGAGGCUGCCAGGCUCAGAGCUCUGCCAAUGCGACCUUUAGAAUGAGCUGGACCUGCAGCGGGUCGUCUUUACACCAGCAGACACUAUGUUUCCAGAAUGCUGCUGGCCUGCCCUCGAGGAGGAACUUUCCCUCCAUGACAGCACAGGCGUGGCGUGUCAGGGGCUGCUCUGGGUGUGCUUGGGUGUGUGGGGCAUGCAUGCCGGGCACUGUGGUGUUUGGAAACACACCUGAGACAGUCCGUCUGCAGGAGACAAGAGCUAGUGGAUCAGAAUGCACAAAAUACGCUCACAAAUUCCACAACCCACAUGAGUGACUUAGGAAGAAGACCUAGGACGGUCACGGGUCUUCUGAAGCUGAUGUUUUUAACUCUCACUGUGCAGCCCAACUUGCUGUUUUACACAACUGAAAGCUCUGAACGGGUUUAGGGUCUUCACUAAUAUGAGUUCUGAUUCCCAGUUGUCUGGGAUCUGGGCGGCUUCCGGAAGCCCCUGCGCCCAUGGAGCCCUGUCCCUCUCAGAGACAUGUGCUCGCAAACCUCCUGUCCCUCGCUGUGGAGCCAGUGCGGGGUCCUCCAGCCUCUGCGCUCAGUCACACGACUCCUCUGGGAUGCCUCGUGGGUCUGUGCUGGUUGUCCGCCCUCAACUCUUUCUUUGCUUUCAGGGAGGGGUGGCUAGGCUUGAGAACUUUGGGGAAUCUGCAGUAAAGGCUGCAUCAGUCCCACUGGGUACCCUAGAGCAGCUCCCACAAAGCAGAACCCAAAAUGUUUUCUUAACAGUUUAAAAAUCUGGCAAAACCAGCAAAUUGGCAUUACAUGUUUACACUUUGCUGGAUAACUGCUAGAGUCCCCAAAUACCAAGAUUUCUACUGCCAGAAAACCUAAAAUACAAUGGCCCUCUCACAGGACACUCCUACGCUAAUGUGUGGGCUCCCUCUGCUGGGCCUCGGGCCUGUGGCUGUGGAGAGGCAACCGCCCAGGCGACAGAUCCUGGGGAUGAAGUGGGGGCAACUCAGACCCACAGUGAGACCCCGUGUCACAGAGAGGGCCUGCAAUUGCUGGAGUUAUAUUCCUGUCAGUGCAAGAAAAUGGGGAUUUUUAUUUUAAGUGGGAGAUAGCAAGUUUUUGUUUGUCUCCGUUUCUGUUCCCAAAGGAGGCCCAGCGCUCUUUGGAGAGGGGCACAUGUGGUGGGGAGCCUGUUGCUAGGGUAACCAUGUCCUCUGUCUGAAGAUGUCUAGGCCGGUUGGUUCCUUUGGAGCAGUUGAUCAGAUGGAAGGAAACAGGGGAAAUGCAAAUUACGAUCAUGUCACUUCAGAAACAGCACAGUGUGGUCACCCUGUGGCUCCAAAGAGGUCCCACUUCCGUAGUGGGUUCCUCUCCUCACUGCUACUACUCUGGUCCCCCCAGAUGACCAAGUGCUGGUCGGUGCUCAGCAUCUCAUCCUCUACCUUGCAGGCUCAGCCUUGCUUUGUUGAACUUGGAAGGAGAUGUGAGGACAAACUGUUCCUUAAUAAAAUUACAAAUUUUCUCUUCCUAGAGCCAUAAAAGAUUAAUUCAAAACUCUAUAAAAAUGGGCC